GCAUCAAGUUUUUAUAUAAAAAAGGUUUUCCUCCGAUCACCGAAGUUAAGCAACAUUGAGCCCGGUCAGUACUUGGGAGGGUGACCACUUGCGAACACCGGGUGCUGUUGAGGUU